GCUGAUGAAAGGUUAUCACGCAAUAGAGAUCGCCUUGACUUUUGGGGUCGGGGCGACGGAGCAUCCGCGCCGCGGUUGGCGUGACCCGAUCGCAAGCCAUCUUGGUUGCGGUCCGGGGCGUCAUCGUUUUGACCGUGCUCACCGGACCAAGAAGUGCCAUCGAUCGCGCACGCGUGGCGGUGCACUCGUGACUUUACUUUUUCUGUCUUCACUCCACGUCCUUCCGCGCACAGCUUGAAGGUUGGCACUAAAGCACUCUACAGGCUGCUCGGAAUCGAGCUGCAGAGGUUCUCGCGCGGAAAAGGCGGCGGCAUUAUUGACAUCGGGCACGUAUUCAAGUGGGAAUCAAGACCACUUGGGGACCAAGCCCAUUCAAGCACCCUGCCCCCACCCCAAAAUUAACCAACAAGCCCGGCUAGCACUAUUCUGAAAUUAAACUAUUCAUCCAUUUUCUUAAACGAAAUAGGAAUGCAAGUACAAGCAGUGAUGCGUCCAUUUCUCGCCCGCAAGAGGUACGCGCCUGCUCGCGUGCAAAGGAAGUAGUUUCCCAUACAUAUCGUCAUACGCAGGCAUAAACAUCGCUAAAGUUGUCGCGGCGAUUGGGCGAGAGAGUCUAGUGUAAAUUUUGCGGUUUAUUUUCUUCCUUCGAGACAAGCAGGGGAAUUUCAUUUUUAAUACAGGCAGAGUGACCGAGUUCGGAGAAGAACUGCAAAGUGGCAACGUUUCACAGUAGACACGCGGAAAUAUCGGGUCAAUUAAUCUUCUAGUUCUGUAGAGCAGCACUACAGGUGAACCUCGUACAUCUUCUAUAUCGACGAUCUGUAAGCCUCUCAGCGACGCCUUGCAAACCACCGGGCAUCGGACAACAACGCUAGAGCUUGAAAUUUGUCCUGCCAAUCGAGCGAGCCCAGCUUCACACGUUUUUGUGAGACAAUUGAGAACGCUACAGAAGAGGAAAAGGGGAACGGAGGGGGGAGGUGUGGAAUGGACGCCGAUCUUACCUGAAAUGCCCAGGCAGAGAUCGAUGCUGCUUCCGGUGCCCGACUGAUCCUGGACCACGGAGUUCUCGCGUGACCUCAUCGGAAAGAUCUGCACCCGCGGCGAGUUCGAGCCGGAGCCAGUGGCGCUGUACACACCGUUCACCUUGGGAUCGCCCGACGUCGUCGAGUCGACACGAACAGGCAGGAGAGAAUCUCUGCGGAAGCGGAACGGCCCCGCGUGAGAAGCAGACAGAUCUUCCGGGUUCGCCGCCAUGACAAACUCUCCACAUUCCAGUUUUUUUAUGCGUGUUAUUUUCAUCUGUGUGGCUUACGAAACGGCCAAAAAGAAGCAUUUGCAGAUACAAA
rnacentral:lncRNA from 1 species